rnacentral:rRNA from 1 species
UACGAGGGGGGCAAAUGUUGUUCGGAAUCACUGGGCGUAAAGGGAGCGUAGGCGGGUUCUUAAGUUGGAUGUUUAACCCCGGGGCCCAACCCCGGAUCGGCAUCCCAAACUGGGAAUCUUGAAUAGAGGAGAGGUCAGUGGAAUUGGAGGUGUAGCGGUGGAAUGCGUAGAGAUCUCCAAGAACACCAGUUGCGAAGGCGGCUGACUGGACUCAUAUUGACGCUGAGGCUCGAAAGCAUGGGGAGCAAACAGG